rnacentral:lncRNA from 1 species
UGCUGCUGGUGCGGAUGGUGCUGCAUCUACUCUGGUUGCAGAUACAUCUACCGUUGAAUGUUGAGAAGUAGGUGGAAAAGGUGAGCCAAAAGGCCCUGAUCCUGAAGCUGGUGGAAAUGGAAAAGGUGACCCAGGAGAAAAUCCAGCAUUGUUGAACUGGCUAUCUUGUGGAUUCAUUUGACCCAUCAAAGUCUUAAAAGCCUGUUGCAUUGCAUAGUUCUGAAAGAAUAUUGAAGGCAAGUUUAAAUUAAAAAACUCACAUAUCAAAAGAGUGUGAGGCUAGAUUUUGUGGGUGACACAAUAAACAAACUCUUAUUCAUUUUAACAUAUGUACUUGCAAACAUAUGAUGAUGGCAAUUUGAAAAACGUUCUUUCACAAACAUUAAACACGUUAAGGGCACUCAACUCAAAUAUUGUCUAUUUACACACACCCAACGAUAUUAAAAUCCUGUAAUUGAAUUAAAAAAAAAUUUAAAAAAAAUUAAAAAAAAAAAGAUCCAUAAAUUGUAGGAGGAAAGGACGCACCUUUAAUCUCGUAGCCACCUGUCAUUAAAAUUAACUUGUCAAACAUGCAGCAAAGGUGAAAUGGUCUAAUAAAAGUUCAUUUAAUCAAACUCAAAACAAAGAGCAUGUAACAAUCCAUGUUCUCACCCAUGAAAAUAGUGCUGAAAGCCCAACACCAACGCCAAUCCAAAACAAAGGCGACCCUCUAGAACAUAAAAGGUAAAUAAAGGUGUAAAGAUGAAAUGGUUAUGAACGUUUGGGCACAAGGAGGAAACAAGAAGCAACCAAAAAGCUCAUAAAAUACAUGAUUAGCUAUAAAAUAAAUAAAAACUGAGGAAGUGAAGAAAACAAAUCAUUACACAUUUGUGGGUGGGGGAGGUACUGAGAUUUGUGGGUUGACACCAACUGAAGAUGUUUCUUGGGUACUCGAAGAAGAAAUGCUCGCAAAACGUGCCACUUCUAACUUUGCUACAAAUGUAUCAUAAAAAUAACCCGUGUCAGUACAACUAAAUUGAAAACUUGCUCAACCGGGGAGAUCAUAUGAAAUACGGCAUCAUAGAAUCAGCAAGAUACAUUAGCACUUCUGAUGAAAAAUAAAACGAUAACCCUAAAAGCUAGCUUCUUUUUUUUUUUCACCCUCAAGAGCUGUCAUUAUAGUCUUAUAGAUACACAAUGUAGGGUAAGUAGAGUAGUGGUACAGAUGGGAUACAAGCACUUUUGACUGUGUUUGUAACAGUCAAUAGUGCUUCUUCACAAAACGCGUUCAAGUGCAUUUCCAGAAAUCAACUGGAUGUUUAUUAAAUUCUGACAUGCUUGAUGCUUCUAACAGAAGCACUUAUGAUCAGAAGUGCUUUUUUAUAUAAGCACUCCUAACCCCAAUCCUUGUCUCCAAAAGUGCUCAAUUCCUGAAGUUGUAAUCCUAUUAUAACUACUUUGAGAACACAUAUAAAGUCAACUAGCGUCUCCUCUCCAUAUGCAUGCGUCUGUGUGCAGCACUGCAGACAGGAUGUGAAGGUUAUCUUUUCCCAAAUACAGCCACUAUCUACAAACCAACUCAUCCGCUUUCUCCAACCCACUACAAGUAGAAAUUUCAGUGCUUGCGACUGUCUUUCUUAUAGCCUCCAUGCAUGGCUUUGAAGACUUUUCACUACCCAAUUCAUUUAAGCUUGAAUAUUAAGAAAAUUCAAAUUUAAAAAAGUUAGUCAUACACUUCAAACCUGAAAAAAAAAAUUAAAAAUAAAUAAAAAUAAACAAUUCAUACAACAGAGUUCACGUCCUCGAAACCGUAUGCAUCACUUCAGACUCACAAUUCAACAUAGAACCCUAACAAGUAAAUAAAUUUCUGAAUUUCAAAAUAAUAAAGCGAACCCGUGUUUUCUGCACUAUAUUUUGCAAGGAGAAGCUAAAAAAUUUCUUACUUGAGUCAGUGAACGGUAAACUGAAUCAGUAAAAUUAGAACCUGGGAGGCGAGUGGCAGUGGAGGGACCAUCGCGACAAUUGGCUCUGGAAUUCUGGUGAUUUUUGGAGUUUCUGAGAUUGGCGGAGCAUCGAAAGAGAGGGAAUUGAUUGAAUGAGGGAGCGAUAAUUCUUGGUUGGUUUGAAGAGAGGAGCGGCGGCGAGCGAGGAAGCGAGUGAGGAAGAGAUAGUGACGUCAUGAUUUGCUACUAGAAAAUCAAGGAAAAGGCACUGCAAUUGUACCAACCCAGAAGCAGUAGAAAGUAUAAAACCCAAUGAUUUUUGGUAGGGUUUUCUGGUGUUUAACUCAAGAAGAAGAACCUGAAACACAAGAGUCUACCUCUCCGUUCUUUUUUCUUUCUUUCGUUUUUUUUCUUUUUUUUUUAGACAAGAAAAAGUAUUUUCUGCUAGAACGAAUAAGAGCAUUAUUGGAGAUGUCAAAACAUAAUGUUAAGAGGAUUGUUAGAUGACAUUCAGUACUAGUAAUUCUCUUUACUUAGUCUUAGGUUCAAAUCUCGUGAAUGGUGAAUUCGAUAUCAAAUUAGGCUACCUAUUGUGUGGCUUUGCCGAACUCUUUAUUUCCUUAGUGUAAAAAUAUCGAUGUAUUAAAAAAAAAGGAUUGUUAGAUACAUGGUUGGAAUCAAAUUUGGACGUUGCCGCAGAUGUUGGAGGCAUAAUUUCGAGCAAUCUGCAUAACAGAAAACAACCAUAAGCAAGCCUAAGACUGAGGAUUUCGAUCAAAAACUCUCCGACGAUCAAGUUAGUAAGUUGUUUUAGACUCAAUCAGUGGGCAAAAGGAAUUAAAGUGUGGAGAUUGCGUUACCCAAUACAAAUCCUAGAUGGGUAUAUUUAUACAAACCGGUAGAGAGACCUUUUUAGGAUAUAAUCUUUGUUCUAAGCUGGAAGAAUCCUAUAGGAUAUCAAGAAGUAGGUAUUACAACCUUUUAGAGUUGUGAUUACUUGCGACACACGCAAAUUCGUAGAUCAUAGGAACUCCCAGACUUAAGAAUAAUCUAAUUGAGUUCAUAUCUGGAUCAUAUCGCAUGUCUUGUGGAACAAACAUGUUCAUACCAAUGAAGCCAUUCGGACUUCUCUUAUUGGCCCGAACAAGGUGAUGGUGGAACUGCUACUCCGUCGGAUUUAGCUCCACUCGGAGCUGGUGAGUCCAUAAUUGGAUUUAUGAGGUAACAUUAUUAGCCUUACUUCGACCUUAGAAAAUCAUGAUCCCACAAUUAUUUCUAACUAUAUAUUUGAAAGGCAACUUGUUUCCCUUGAGAAUGGAUAGUCAUUCAAAGACUAUGCCGUUCAGAGUAAGUUGGAGUACGUACUAUUUAGCCUUCUUUCUUCGUUUGAUGAUCUAACGCUUAGAGAGUAAUGGAGACGCUCCGAAUUCAAACGUGUGAUCUUGAAUAUCGUACCAUAAAGUUUAUGAAACUUUAUGUUUGUUGCAUGUGCACAAAAAACAAGAAAUCACCUCAGAUAUUCUUGUUGAUCUUAAUUGUCAUACUCGUUAAUCCCAAGGUGAGUCGGUUGGCAUUCAACAACCAGAUCGUUCCAUUGUGCGAUGUGUAUAUAAUCUUAAAUCUCUUCCUUUCAUUUUACCAAAAUCCUCAAAUUACCCAAGGAAAAAAUGCUCCAACUUUCCUCACAUACCAAUUCAAAAAUGGGUUUUUAUUACAAAUGGUCCAUGAAAUUGGCUCACCCCAUCAAGAUGGCUACUGAAAUUGAAAAUCAAAUAAUGUAAUUCUUGAAAAUGGAUGUUGCAAAUCAAUGUGAUCAUUUCGUUACAAUUCCAUUAAAAUUUAUGUCUUGUGCUGACGUGACACAUAAUUGGUCCCACAAGUUUAAUUAAAUAUUACUAUAUGAAUUAAAAUGUUUAAAUAAUAGUUUUUUUAAUUAAAAACUCAAAAGAAAAAAUGAAAAGAAAAACAAGAAGGUGAACAAUUCAUCUUCUCCUUCACCUCCCACUAAAGCAACCACCCCAGUCCCCGCCCCACCCUACCCCAUCUCGUUGCACAUGUAACCGCAGCCAAACAGAUGGCCCAUCAGAUCCAGAAACACGCAGAGGCCACCUAAAUUUGGUAAAAUACCUCUCCAGGUGAUGAAAAAAAAAAGGUCUCCAGGUCAAAAAAAUUAUGUAGAACACAUUUAUAAUAUGUAACAUUCUAAUCCACGUACUUAAUCAUUAAAUAGUUACCCCCUAAUUAUUCUCCCUAUGCCUGCUAAUUCACCUAGAAGACCAAUUUCUCCUUCUCUUCUCUUCUUUCAGGGAACCCAGAUUUCAAUUUUCCAAAUUUAGUUUGAAAUUUGGAAUCAAAUUCCCAAAAAACAUGAACGAAAAUCCUAAUCGACAAGACCGCAACCGCCGCCCAAAAAGCCGUCCAUUUUUCUGUACGCGAAGGCGUUGUCGAGCUUGCUCGGCAAAUGGAGGCCGCGUGUCUUCAACCCAUCAACGUCAUCAAGACUCAAUUCCAGCUCGACCAAACUAGCACCUACAAAGGAAUUGUCCAAUGCAGUUUCACAUGCAAUGGGGUGGGGUGGGUUGUCGAGGUUGCUCAGGUGGGAGAAGAAGAAGAUGAUGAACAGUUCAUCUUCUUCUUAUUUUUUAAGUUUUUAAUUCUAUAAAACUAAAAUUUUUUUUAUUCUUAUAAACAUUUUUAAUCACAUGGUAAUAUUUAAUUAGACUUGUGGGACUCAUUUAUGUGCCACAUCAACACAUAAUAGAAAUUUUAACAGAAUUCUAACGAAAGUACCACAUUGAUUUGUAACAUCUAUUUUCAGGAACUAUAUUAAUUGAUUUUCAAUUUUAGGAACCAUAUUGAUGGAGUAGGUCAAUUUUAGGGACUAUUUGUGAUUAAAACCCUUCAAAAAUUCCCCAAAUCCUUUCAUUUUCCAUCAAUGGCAUCUUCAAGCAAAACCUCUAAAUCGUCCAAAGUUUCGCCUUAUAACCUUCUGCUAAUAAGGGUUCGCAGCCGAGAAGAAGUUCAGGUUUUUGUCAAGGGCCAUUGGGAUGUCCAAGGUCAGUGUAGGGUUUGGUGGGAAUCAAGCUAGACAUCUAUACUAAAAUUCUCGCAUCAUUUGUCCCAUAGCGUCCAUGCACCAGGAUCUAUCUUUGGUUUUUGGAUUUAGGCUUGCGCUUUCCUCUCCCAUAUUUCCUAAAGAGUAUCUUGAUAUGCUACGACAUGGCCAUCUGUGAGGUUCUUCGACGGUCAAGUUAGUGAACAGAUUUAUGCUCCGACAUGGCCAUCUGUAUAUUUUUUGCAUAAUAGGGUUAUUAGGAUAUGGAUGAAACCGACCCACAAUUGUUACAAUUCAUCAAUAACAUUUUCAAGGGGCACUUUUGGGAGUGGAAGUAUGACGUUGAGUGAGAUGCAAAACUAUAGCGAAAUACUGAAAGAAUAGCGGAGUAAAAGUGUUAUUAUUGUGUUUUUCAAUAGUUAUGGAUGGUUAUAAUUUUUUUAGGUAAAUGUUUUGUGGACGGUAUUUUAAAUAUUUGUUUAAUUUGCAUUUGGAUUCAAAUUUGCAUUUAAUUGUUUAUUUGGUUAAUAUACUUUGGUUUAAGUUUUUAUUUGAAUAAACUUUAAAGGAAUACAAAUUAAUAUUUAAUAAUAAUUAAAAACUUGUGCGACGAUUCGUCGUCACAAAACGUUUAUAAGGACAAAAUUCGUGCGAGGAAUGUGGUAAUCGUUGCGCAAGAUUCCAAAGAGAAAAACUUUGCGCAACGAAUCCUUCGCCGAGCAAAGAUCGUCGUCUUUAUAAACAGAUUGCUCAACUAAAAAGGCAGAAACUGUAGAAAUUUACAAUAGUAGCCUCUGCACCCUUCUCUCCCAUCGCCUUCCUUCAAUCCGGUGUCCCUCCCUCAUUUUCUCUUAAUUUCAUAUUUCAUCCUCUAAUACUCCCUCCAUCUCAAUCUCCAUAUUCUCUUCAUACAUCAAUCGAUUCCGAUGUAUUAGGUAGACGAUUUGAUUUUGUAUUUAAAAGUAUCAUUGUCAAUUCAUAUUAACACCAUUAAUUUUGUUGUCUAUAGGGCUGUUGUAUACGAGCAAUGACUAAAAUAUCGAUAAUAUUGGCGAAAUAUCGCCGAUAUUAUCGUUUUUCAAAGAGAUCGAUAUUUUCUCACGUAUCCCCCUAAUUGUCGUCAAAAUAUCACGAUAUUAUCGAUAAUAUCGCGAUAUAUUCGAUAUUAUCGAAACAAUCGUCGUGGCUCCGUCGUCGGAAAGGCAGCCGAGGCUGCGUUGUUGCAGCUGCCCAGAUCUCUCUCUGCAAUCCAAGUUCGAGGGAUUAGGGAAAGGGAAACACGGGGAAGUGGGGGGUGUGUGUGUCUGUCUACUUUGGGAAUGAAAGUUGCAAAGAAGAGAUGGGGGGAGAAGAAUAAGAAAAGUUUGAAAAGUCAGAAGAAGAAGAAAAGUGAAAUGAUGAAAAAGAAGAUGGAGUGGAGGGGGGGAGAAGAAGAAAAAAAGUGAAAAGAUAAAAGAGAAAAGUUUGAAAAGAUGAAGAAGAAGAUAUAGAAGGAGAAAAGUCUGAAAAGAUGAAAAAAUGUGAACGGCAGCUAUAUUCGAUAUUAUCGAAACAAUCGUCGUGGCUCCGUCGUUGGAAAGGAAGCUGAGGCUGUGUUGUCGCAGCUGCCCAGAUCUCUCUCUGUAAUCCAGGUUCGAGGGGUUGGGGAAGGGGGAAACACGGGGAAGUGGGGGGUGUGUGUGUCUGUCUACUUUGGGAAUGAGAGUUGCAAAGAAGAGAUGGGGGGGGAGAAGAAGAAGAAAAGUUUGAAAAGUUUGAAAAGUCAGAAGAAAAAGAAAAGUGAAAUGAUGAAGAAGAAGAUGGAGUGGAGGGGGGAGAAGAAGAAGAAAAGUGAAAAGAUAAAAGAGAAAAGUUUGAAAAGAUGAAGAAGAAGAUGUAGAAGGAGAAAAGUCCGAAAAGAUGAAAAGAUGUGAACGGCAGCAGGGCACUUGGGAAAGUGAAAAAGUCUCUGAAAAGAUGCUUUGUUUGGCGUGGUGAAGUGUACCAGCCUCUGCCUUAUCACAAAAUGAAGGGGUAAACAAUAAUUACCCACUAUCCCCUAAUAAAUAAAUUAUAUAAAUUAUUUAGAUAAUAUUUUAUUAUUUGUUUUUUUUUAAACAACACCAUAUUACACUCUUGUAUUAUAUUAUUUUUCUUUUUAUGAUCAGAAUAAGAUAAUCUUAUAUUAUACUCUUAUGUAGUAUUAAGUCACUCAUGUAUCUUACCAUGCAAUGUAUAAAGUGUAAAAUAUUGUACUAAUUCAUUAUAUAUAAAUGAUUAUGGUGUGUUUAAACUUUUUUCAUUAAUUACUACAUAUUUUCUACACUCAUAAUGUUUGCCAGCUUGCUAUAUAAUCAACUUAAAUCAGUUAAAUCUAUCAUGCAAUGAAUUUCCUUCCAAUUUUUUGUGAUAAACUAAUAGAUAAUUGACUAAAUAAACAUCCUGCAAAGUUUCAAUAAAAAUUUCCAAGUUUUUCUUACAAUUUCCGUGGUUUUUAUUCAAUUUUUAUCGAUAUCGAUAAUAUCCCGAUAUUUUCAUCAAAAUUUCCGUGUUUUUAGACUACCGAUAUUUUAUACUUUGUAUACGAGUAGGGAUUGGUGGGGAAAGAUUUUGGAGGUAUUAUUUUUAUUUUUUCUAAUAACAUAAAUAAAUUAAAUUAUAUGUAUAUUAUGUUGUCAUUUUUAAUUUAUUUGUAUGGAGAUUGGGCCGGCAUCAGUUUUAUUACAAAAAGAAGGAAACUUGACUCGACUGCUGAGAAGGGGGAUACAAUUGUCCCACACCGGCCACAGCUCUGGUUAUUAGUCAUUUACAUAAAGAAACUGCGCAACGAGAAUUGUCCCUUCGGGACCUCCGUUCAAUUUUUUUCCAUGAAAUUGAAUGGAUUUUGAAGCAUUUUCCUUCUGUUUUUUUUUUUUUUUUUCCCACCCAGUUUGGGUCAAUUGGAAUGCAGAUUGAGGAUCUUUUGGUGUUGGGAAGUAUUUCACGCUUUGAUGGGUCCGUCUCACUGUCUGACUGUCUGAAUUUUCAUAUUCCAGGUUUGCCUACUAACUGUUUGAUAAAAUGACUUUGUUACUGUGGCCCUUAAAAGGUUGUUAAGCUUAAGCAUAUAGUUUUCUAUGAUCUCUGGACGAUCCCUAUAUAUAUAUAUAUAUAUGUUGUGUUUAUAUGUGUGCGGGCGUGCGCACAUUGUAUUUGUAUACCAGUUUCACUUGGUUGAAGCUCUUGAAAGACUCCAUUUGGGUUUUGCUUGUUUUAGUUCAAUAACAAAUCCAAGAUAUGUUUCUUUUAGUUAGUUUACAUAACGUGGGUGUUAAAGUUUUGAACUUUCAUUUUGGUUGUUCGAGGCAUUUGUAAAUCACAGUCGUAGUCAUUUACGAUAGAAAAUUUCUCCAAAGAAGAUAAUGUCUGCAUUGCGAUUGCAGGUAAUGUAUGUCGUAUACGAAUCUCAUUGAGUUUCUAGUUCCAGAUUUGCAAGUACAUAGUUGGGAAUACAAAUGAAUGUAUUUCUCAAAUCUCUAGUAAGUUGAGGUAGUUGAUUAUAUUUUACAAUAUUUUUCAACUCUCUCACACUUCUUUUUUUUCUUUUAGCUAAGACACCAUAGAUUUGAUUGCUAGAUCGAUUCCUAGCCAUAGAUUUGAUUCCAGCGUAUUGAGUUUCACCUUUAUUUCUACUAAGCAGGGUUUUCUCUUAGUCAAAAAUCAAGUGUCAUCAUAGUAUUGUGGAACCUAAUGGGUUAAGGUAUAGUACCUAUAGUAGACAUAUUUUAAAGAAAUUAAUCUCGACGAACAAUUUCUCUUCAGUUUUCAUUAAUGCGCAUCUAUAUGGAAUAAAACAGAAAUCUGGUAAGCAGUGCUGUUGUUUUGUUCUGUUUCUCUUCAGUGAUUCCUCUACUUAUUUGGUAAAUGCUUAAUCGAAGUACUUGUAGUUACGACUCGUUUGGUAAUGCUUCUGUUUCGUGUAAACACAAAACAUUUACUUUAGAAUCUCCCAGAAAACACUUUGAUAUAUAUUAUAUAUAUAUAUAUAUAUAUAUAUAUAUAUUUAACCAGACAUUACUUAAUUUUCCACAAUACAUGAUCAUCUCUGUAAUUCUUGAUACUACAGUUAUAUAAACUCACCAAUAACUUUGGCAGGAUUUAUUAGAAAUGGUUUCGGUAGAUUGUCCACAUUCCGUACCUAACACUUCCCCUCAUAUCCAUUCAUGAAAUGAUCACAGACCAGAUCAUUUCAUUUUUUUAAGCUACUGUCACGGAUAGCCUGAAACUUGGGAAUAAGUUUGUCUUUAGACGGCCAAUUAUCUUUGAUGAUAGGAACAUCUGCAAAAGUCGCCGCCCAUGCUGAUAACAAUGGAAACUCUUCUUUGGUUACCACUUUCAUUCCUACUAUGUCUUCAAACAAACUCUCGUAGUAUGCAAGCCAUCCAAGUGCAAUAUCCACAAUUCCAAUUUUCUCUCCGCCAAAGAAUUUCUUUCCCUUUAGCUCUUCUUCCAAGUACUUCAAGUUCUCCUUGGCUUUUACAAUACCUUCCUCUUGCUCUUUCCCUUCCUUGGUAAAGGAUUCCCAAAUAGAUGGCGAAACCUUCAUAAAAAAUCACAAACCAAACCGAAUAAUCAAAUAUCGAAACUAAAUUAUGAUAUGAACUACAAUUUUCUUUUAAUUUGCUUCAGGCAUGAGCAAGUUAUAAAAUAUCGAUGAUAUCGGAAAUAUCGGUAGUCCAAAAACACGGAAAUUUCGAUGGAAAUAUCGGAAUAUUAUCGAUAUCGAUAAAAAUUGAAUAAAAACCACGGAAAUUGUAAGAAAAACUUGGAAAUUUUUAUUGAAAUUUUUGCAUGAUGUUUAUUUAGUCAAUUAUCUAUUAGUUUAUCACAAAAAAUUGGAAGGAAAUGCAUUGCAUGAUAGAUAUAACUGAUUUAAGUUGAUUAUUAGCGAGCUGGCAAACAUUGUGAGUGUAGAAAAUAUAUAGUAAUUAAUGAAAGAAGUUUAAACACACCAUAAUCAUUUAUAUAUAAUGAAUUAGUACAAUAUUUUACACUUUAUACAUUGCAUGGUAAGAUACAUGAGUGACUUAGCAAGGUCUAAAAUAUCGAUGAUAUCAGAAAUAUCGGUAGUCCAAAAACACGGAAAUUUCGAUAGAAAUAUCGGGAUAUUAUGGAUAUUUUAGACCAUGGGCAUGAGCAAGUAGAGUAAGGUCAUAUACAUAAUACACCACUGAACGAAAAAUGCAGCCAAAUAUCUGCAAUUUACUGCGGAAAUUUGCAAACUGAUCCGACAGCGCAUUUUCUUAUUAUUUCAGGUAAAUAAUGAUGGUUCAGUUCAGUUAUCUGAUGCACUUUCACUCGAUGUGUAUACUUUUUGUGCAAGAAACUAUCUGAUUAUGAAAGGCUAGUUCAGAUUACCGUCUCAUCGCAAUAUCUGGCCCAAAAGCGUGCAGUGGCUCGCUCAAGAGGAUCUUCCGGCAGUAAGGGAUUCUCCUUCCAUGUUUCGUCGACAUAUUCAAGAAUUAUGAGUGACUCAACAACUGCAUUUCCAUUGUGCAGGAGCACUGGAAUUUUCUUAUGAAUAGGGUUAGACUGAAGAAGUAAAGGGCUUUUGUUCGAAAGAUCUUCGUAGAUUGCUUCGUAAGGGAUGCCUUUAAGUUGCAGCGCCCAAACGAUUCUCAGGCCGAAAGGGCUUGACCAUGACCUAAGGAGUUUCACUUCUGCCAUUUUUGCUGGUAGUUUGAGCUAUCUUCUGCUAGGCAGGCCUUUUAUGCUUAAUUUUCAGUGUGGAAUUUCGCAUGGUCUCCCUAGACUUCAUUGUAUUUAUUAUUGAAGCCUUCUAUUUUGUAAAAUUUGAAUUGCUUCCCUGUAUCUGAUACAUAUCACUCGUUGCCAUGUAAUUUUACAUGGUUUUUCAUUUUUAAUUAAUUUUCUUAGUUUAAUGCUUAGAAAUGAUAAGACAUGCUAUUUCUGUGUCUAUGACACAAUCUUUAUUUUAGUUAUUGAAUUAAAUAAAUCAGACGGAAACAAAGACAGACAAACAAUACGGUUGCGUAGGGGGAGAGAAAAGUGGAAUUUGGAAAAAUACGAGGGAGAAAAGGUAGACGGUUUUUGUGUGAAAUUAAAUGAUGAUUGGGUUCUGUGAUGUAAGCUGUGAUGUAACCAAAGGAGAGAAGGUUCUGUUGGUUUUCUUCCAAGUUUGGGCUUUUGUUUUGGUCCAAGGUGCCGGCUGUGUAAAGGUUACGAGAUUCUACCGUGAAGUGGGACCCGUGUGUCAAAGUGUAUAUUAUUAUUAAGAAGAGGUGAACGUGAACGGUUAGAAAUUAUUUCAAUAAUUUAGAAAAUGAGAAUUUUCAUGUAAAUUAACAUUUUAUCAAUUAGAAUAUUAAACCACAUGUAAAAAUUGGUCACAAUUACACUUAUAAAAAUGAUUUUCUAACACUCUUAUUAUCUUCUCACAUACUCUUUUUUAUUUCUAGUUAUCAAAUUAAAUAAAUAAAACAAAAUUAACGCGCAUUGUUAAACAAAACUACACGAGAGACUGAAAACAUGUGUGUGUUAGUUUAUCGUUUCUCACACACUUUUUAUUUAGUUCAGAGUCACUUUUGACAUCAGUGGUGGGGGUGGAUGGUGCAGUCGACGUGAUCGGUGUGGUUGGUGUGGCUUCUGUGGCUGAUGAGGCUGGUGCGGAUGGUGCUGCAUCUACUCUGGUUGCAGAUACAUCUACCGUUGAAUGUUGAGAAGUAGGUGGAAAAGGUGAGCCAAAAGGCCCUGAUGCUGAAGCUGGUGGAAAUGGAAAAGGUGACCCAGGAGAAAAUCCAGCAUUGUUGAACUGGCUAUCUUGUGGAUUCAUUUGACCCAUCAAAGUCUUAAAAGCCUGUUGCAUUGC